GUUUGAUCCUGGCUCAGAAUCAACGCUGGCGGCGUGCCUAACACAUGCAAGUCGCACGAGAAAGUGGAGCAAUCCCUGAGUAAAGUGGCGCACGGGUGAGUAACACGUGAAUUAUCUACCUCCGAGUGGGGAAUAACUGAGAGAAAUCUUAGCUAAUACCGCAUAAUACCCACGGGUCAAAGCAGCAAUGCGCUUGGAGAGGAGUUCGCGGCCGAUUAGCUAGUUGGCGGGGUAAUGGCCCACCAAGGCGAUGAUCGGUAUCCGGCCUGAGAGGGCGCACGGACACACUGGAACUGAAACACGGUCCAGACUCCUACGGGAGGCAGCAGUGGGGAAUUUUGCGCAAUGGGGGAAACCCUGACGCAGCAACGCCGCGUGGAGGAUGAAGUCCCUUGGGGUGUAAA
rnacentral:rRNA from 1 species